rnacentral:rRNA from 1 species
GGGAUAACAUUUGGAAACAGAUGCUAAUACCGUAUAAAUCCUAAAACCACAUGGUUUUAGGCUGAACGGCGGCUUCGGCUGUCACUUAGAGAUGGACCCGCGGCGUAUUAGCUAGUUGGUGAGGUAAUGGCUCACCAAGGCAAUGAUACGUAGCCGAACUGAGAGGUUGAUCGGCCACAUUGGGACUGAGACACGGCCCAAACUCCUACGGGAGGCAGCAGUAGGGAAUCUUCCACAAUGGACGCAAGUCUGAUGGAGCAACGCCGCGUGAGUGAAGAAGGCUUUCGGGUCGUAAAACUCUGUUGUUGAAGAAGAACACGUUUGAGAGUAACUGUUCAGACGUUGACGGUAUUCAACCAGAAAGCCACGGCUAACUACGUGCCAGCAGCCGCGGUAAUACGUAGGUGGCAAGCGUUAUCCGGAUUUAUUGGGCGUAAAGCGAGCGCAGGCGGUUUUUUAAGUCUGAUGUGAAAGCCCUCGGCUUAACCGAGGAAGUGCAUCGGAAACUGGGAAACUUGAAUGCUGAAGAGGACAGUGAAACUCCAUGUGUAGCGGUGAAAUGCGUAGAUAUAUGGAAGAACACCAGUGGCGAAGGCGGCUGUCUGGUCAGUUAUUGACGCUGAGGCUCGAAAGCAUGGGUAGCGAACAGGAUUAGAUACCCUGGUAGUCCAUGCCGUANACGAUGAAUACUAGGUGUU